AUGGCAUGUACUCUGUCAACAUCAAUAACAAUCAAGAUUAUCUCUUCCAACUUGGCAUCAGUUACCAGGCUCCUCCACCAUAUCGACCUUGGCACUUCUUCUUCCGGCGCCUCCAGCUCCGUCACCUCGCCGAGCUCCCUCUCCUCCGACACGACACCCGCCGCGGCCACCGCCACGGCCUCUCUGCGGCCACUGCACCGCCCUCCCUCUCCGGCACCAACUCCCUCCAUGGCACAUCUGGCUCGUCCGGCUCUCAGUUCACUCGGCUGUUCUCCUCCUCCACGCCGGCGCCGCCGGCACCCGCCCCUCGCAACUCGAUCUACAAUGAUCACAUCACUAACCACAUCAAAUUCCUUCUCAAUCCCGCACAACUACCACAAGUGGAAAUCAUUUUUCCUCGUGGUCCUCAUCCACUGUGGGGUCACUUUUCUCAUCGAGCACCCGCCGCCCCCCAAUGCCGACGCCUAG
rnacentral:rRNA from 1 species